CUCGUCCCCGCCCCCAGCGGGGUGUGUUCCGGAAGUCGCCGCUAGUUCCGCGGGUUUCGGCUCCUCCCUACACUUCCGGGCUGCCCGGCAGCUACCGUGGCUCCAGGAUGAUGGAGACGGAGCGACUCGUGCUGCCUACCCCAGAUCCCCUGGAUCUGCCCCUCCGCGCCUUGGAGCUAGGAUGUACCGGGCGCUGGGAGCUGCUGAAUGUGCCUGGGGCUCCAGAGAGCACCCUUCCCCACGGCCUCCCACCCUGUGCCCCAGAUCUGCAGCAAGAAGCAGAACAGUUGUUUCUGUCCUCUCCAGCCUGGCUGCCUCUGCAUGGUGUGGAGCACUCAGCCCGAAAAUGGCAGAGGAAGAUGGAUCCCUGGUCUCUCCUGGCCGCACUGGGGGCCCCAGUCCCCUCCGACCUGCAGGCCCAAAGACACCCAACCACAGGCCAGAUACUAGGCUACAAGGAGGUCCUGCUAGAGAAUACAAACCUGUCGGCCACAACCUCCUUAUCUCUUCGCCGGCCACCAGGGCCCGCCUCCCAGUCCCUGUGGGGGAAUCCAACACAGUACCCUUUUUGGCCAGGUGGGAUGGAUGAGCCUAGCAUCACAGAUCUGAGUACUCGGGAGGAGGCAGAGGAGGAGAUAGACUUCGAGAAAGAUCUUCUGACUGUUCCGCCCGGCUUCAAGAAAGGUGUGGACUUUGCACCAAAGGAUCACUCAGCUCCAGCUCCUGGGUUGCUCAGCCUCAGCCGCCUGCUGGAGCCCCUGGAUUUGGGUGGGGGCGAUGAGGAUGAGAGUGAGGCAGUGGGACAGCCAGGAGGUGCCCAACGGGACGUUGUUUCUGCCCCUCCCUGCAGUGCUCCCCUGGCUCGAGCAAGCAGCUUGGAGGACCUAGUGUUGAAGGAAGCGUCCACAGCUGUAGCCCCCCGAGAGCCUCCCAAGCCCCCACCUCAGGAAGAGUGGGCCAUUCCCGUGGAUGUCACCUCCCCCGUGGGUGAUUUCUACCGCCUCAUUCCCCAGCCAGCCUUCCAGUGGGCGUUUGAGCCAGAUGUGUUUCAGAAACAGGCCAUCCUGCACUUGGAACGGCACGACUCAGUCUUUGUUGCAGCUCACACAUCCGCGGGGAAGACAGUUGUGGCUGAAUACGCCAUCGCCCUCGCCCAGAAACACAUGACACGCACCAUCUAUACCUCGCCCAUCAAGGCUCUGAGCAACCAGAAGUUCCGAGACUUCCGCAACACAUUCGGGGACGUGGGGCUGCUCACCGGUGAUGUGCAGCUGCACCCAGAGGCCUCUUGCCUCAUUAUGACAACAGAGAUCCUUCGCUCCAUGCUGUACAGUGGCUCGGAUGUCAUCCGGGACCUGGAGUGGGUCAUCUUUGAUGAGGUGCAUUACAUCAACGAUGCAGAGCGUGGGGUCGUGUGGGAGGAGGUGCUGAUCAUGCUCCCGGACCACGUCUCCAUCAUCCUUCUGAGUGCCACUGUCCCCAACGCGCUGGAGUUUGCUGACUGGAUCGGGCGGCUGAAGCGUCGCCAGAUCUACGUGAUCAGCACUGUUGCUCGGCCAGUCCCGCUGGAGCAUUAUCUCUUCACGGGGAACAGCCCCAAGACCCAGGGGGAGCUCUUCCUAUUGCUGGACUCGCGGGGCUCCUUCCACACAAAGGGGUACUAUGCAGCUGUGGAGGCCAAGAAAGAGCGGAUGAGCAAACACGCCCAGACCUUUGGGGCCAAGCAGCCCACGAAUCAGGGGGGACCUGCACAGGACCGUGGUGUGUACCUGUCCCUCCUGGCCUCCCUCCGUGCCCGCGAGCAGCUGCCCGUGGUGGUGUUCACCUUCUCCCGGGGCCGCUGUGACGAGCAGGCCUCGGGCCUCACCUCUCUCGACCUGACCACGAGUUCAGAGAAGAGUGAGAUCCACCUCUUCCUGCAGCGCUGCCUCGCGCGCCUCCGCGGAUCUGACCGCCAGCUGCCCCAGGUCCUGCACAUGUCCGAGCUCCUGCACCGCGGCCUGGGCGUGCACCACAGCGGCAUCCUGCCCAUCCUCAAGGAGAUUGUGGAGAUGCUCUUCAGCCGCGGCCUGGUCAAGGUCUUGUUUGCCACGGAGACCUUCGCCAUGGGUGUGAACAUGCCAGCCCGCACGGUGGUGUUUGACUCCAUGCGCAAGCACGAUGGCUCCACCUUCCGGGACCUGCUCCCUGGGGAGUAUGUGCAGAUGGCGGGCCGGGCAGGCCGGAGGGGCCUGGACCCCACAGGCACCGUCAUCCUGCUCUGCAAGGGCCGAGUGCCCGAGAUGGCAGACCUGCACCGCAUGAUGAUGGGGAAGCCGUCCCAGCUGCAGUCCCAGUUCCGCCUCACAUACACCAUGAUCCUCAACCUGCUGCGGGUGGAUGCCCUGAGGGUGGAGGACAUGAUGAAGAGGAGCUUCUCCGAGUUUCCAUCCCGCAAGGACAGCAAGGCCCAUGAACAGGCUCUGGCUGAACUGACCAAGAGGCUGGGGGCCUUGGAGGAGCCCGACGUGACUGGCCAACUCGUCGACCUGCCUGAGUAUUACAGCUGGGGGGAGGAACUGACAGAGACCCGGAGCCUGAUCCAGCGACGCAUCAUGGAAUCUGUGAAUGGGCUGAAGUCUCUCUCCGUGGGAAGGGUGGUGGUUGUGAAGAGUCGGGAGCAUCACAACGCACUGGGUGUGAUUCUUCAGGUCUCCUCAACCUCCACCAGCAGGGUGUUCACAACUCUGGUCUUGUGUGACAAGCCCAUGUCUGAGGACCCACAGCAGAAGGGGCCGGCCUCACCAGACGUGCCCUACCCAGACGACCUCGUGGGGUUCAAGCUCUUCCUGCCUGAAGGGCCCUGCGACCACACCGUGGCCAAGCUCCAGCCGGGGGAUGUGGCUGCCAUCACCACCAAGGUGCUCCGGGUGAAUGGGGAGAAGAUCCUGGAGGACUUCAGCAAGAGGCAGCAGCCGAAAUUCAAGAAGGAUCCUCCCUCUGCGGCUGUGACAACGGCUGUCCAGGAACUGCUCCGUCUGGCUCAGGCCCACCUGGCAGGACCUCCUACCCUUGACCCUGUCAAUGACCUGCAGCUCAAGGAUGUGUCAGUGGUAGAGGGGGGGCUCCGGGCCCGGAAGCUGGAGGAGCUGAUCCGGGGGGCUCAGUGUGUGCACAGCCCUCGUUUCCCUGCCCAGCCCUUGUCCUCAGUGCACCCCUGCUGAGGGCGAGGAGGAGGCUAACGUGCUCCCACGGGGGGGCUCCCUGUAGUACGUGAAGCUGCGGGAGCGGAUGCAGAUACAGAAGGAGAUGGAGAGGCUGCGCUUCCUGCUGUCGGAUCAGUCGCUGCUGCUGCUCCCCGAGUACCAUCAGCGAGUUGAGGUGCUCCGAACCCUGGGGUAUGUAGACGAGGCGGGCACCGUGAAGCUGGCAGGGCGGGUGGCUUGUGCCAUGAGCAGCCAUGAACUGCUCCUCACCGAGCUCAUGUUCGACAACGCGCUGAGUGCCCUGCGGCCGGAGGAGAUCGCUGCCCUGCUCUCUGGCCUGGUCUGCCAGAGCCCCGGGGACCCUGGCGAUCAGCUCCCGAGCACCCUCAAACAGGGGGUGGAACGUGUCCAGGCUGUGGCCAAGAGGAUUGGUGAGGUCCAGGUGGCCUGUGGCCUGAACCAGACAGUGGAGGAAUUUGUGGGGGAGCUGAAUUUCGGACUGGUCGAGGUCGUGUACGAGUGGGCCCGGGGCAUGCCUUUCUCCGAGUUGGCAGGGCUCUCUGGGACCCCCGAGGGCCUGGUGGUGCGCUGCAUCCAGCGCCUGGCUGAGAUGUGUCGCUCACUUCGAGGGGCGGCCCGUCUGGUGGGCGAGCCUGUGCUAGGUGCCAAGAUGGAGACGGCAGCCACCCUGCUACGGAGGGACAUCGUCUUUGCGGCCAGCCUCUACACCCAGUGAACGACCCCUGUGCAAAAAUGUAACAAUAAAACAG